UGCAUUCACUACUGUAAGUUGAUCUGGAUAAGAGCGUCUGCUAAAUGACUAAAA
rfam:Salmo salar isolate Sally breed double haploid chromosome ssa06, whole genome shotgun sequence.